GAUGAACGCUGGCGGCGUGCCUAAUACAUGCAAGUCGAGCGAACAGACGAGGAGCUUGCUCCUCUGACGUGAGCGGCGGACGGGUGAGUAACACGUGGAUAACCUACCUAUAAGACUGGGAUAACUUCGGGAAACCGGAGCUAAUACCGGAUAAUAUAUUGAACCGCAUGGUUCAAUAGUGAAAGACGGUUUUGCUGUCACUUAUAGAUGGAUCCGCGCCGCAUUAGCUAGUUGGUAAGGUAACGGCUUACCAAGGCAACGAUGCGUAGCCGACCUGAGAGGGUGAUCGGCCACACUGGAACUGAGACACGGUCCAGACUCCUACGGGAGGCAGCAGUAGGGAAUCGUCCGCAAUGGGCGAAAGCUUGACGGAGCAACGCCGCGUGAGUGAUGAAGGUCUUCGGAUCGUAAAACUCUGUUAUUAGGGAAGAACAAAUGUGUAAGUAACUAUGCACGUCUUGACGGUACCGAAUCAGAAAGCCACGGCUAACUACGUG
rnacentral:rRNA from 1 species